rnacentral:rRNA from 1 species
AUUGAACGCUGGCGGCAGGCCUAACACAUGCAAGUCGAGCGGAUGAAGGGAGCUUGCUCCUGGAUUCAGCGGCGGGCGGGUGAGUAAUGCCUAGGAAUCUGCCUGGUAGUGGGGGAUAACGUCCGGAAACGGGCGCUAAUACCGCAUACGUCCUGAGGGAGAAAGUGGGGGAUCUUCGGACCUCACGCUAUCAGAUGAGCCUAGGUCGGAUUAGCUAGUUGGUGGGGUAAAGGCCUACCAAGGCGACGAUCCGUAACUGGUCUGAGAGGAUGAUCAGUCACACUGGAACUGAGACACGGUCCAGACUCCUACGGGAGGCAGCAGUGGGGAAUAUUGGACAAUGGGCGAAAGCCUGAUCCAGCCAUGCCGGGUGUGUGAAGAAGGUUUUCGGAUUGUAAAGCACUUUAAGUUGGGAGGAAGGGCAGUAAGUUAAUACCUUGCUGUUUUGACGUUACCAACAGAAUAAGCACCGGCUAACUUCGUG